rnacentral:rRNA from 1 species
UUGAAAGGGAAACGAUUGAAGUCAGUCAUACCAACGGGAAAUCAACCUCUUGAGCUCGGUCUCGUGGGUUUUGAAGAGUUUCAAAGCCCUCGGAUUCGCGGGAUUGGGAUCUCUUGGUGUACUUUUUCGUACGGUUAGUCAACAUCGGUUUUGAAUGUCAUAAAAUGACUGGAGGAAUGUAGCUUCGAUCUCGUAUUGAAGUGUUAUAGCCUUUGGUAGAUGUGAUGUUUGAGACCGAGGAUUGCAACGGAUACCCUUCAGGGCUAUUCGUCUGAUCUCUGAUACGUUGCCUUGAUGUUGAAAGCUCGCUUAUGAUGUUAGGGUAUUACGGUCAAAAGGUUAGAACGAAUUACAUUCGUUAAGGAUGUUGACGUA